rnacentral:rRNA from 1 species
AUGAACGCUGGCGGCAUGCCUAACACAUGCAAGUCGAUCGGUAAGGCUCUUCGGAGUACACGAGAGGCGGACGGCUGAGUAACGCGUAGGAACACACCCUGCAGUGAGGGAUAAGACACCGAAAGGUGUUCUAAUACCGCAUACGGUCUUCGGAUUAAAGCAUUUAUGCGCUGAAGGAGUGGCCUGCGUCAUAUUAGAUAGUUGGUGAGGUAAUGGCUCACCAAGUCGAUGAUGUGUAGCUGGUCUGAGAGGAUGAUCAGCCAGACUGGAACUGAGACACGGUCCAGACUCCUACGGGAGGCAGCAGUGAGGAAUAUUUCACAAUGAGCGAAAGCUUGAUGGGGCAAUGCCGCGUGCAGGAUGAAGGCCCUCGGGUUGUAAACUGCUUUUAUAAGAGAAGAUUAUGACGGUAACUUAUGAAUAAGGGACGGCUAACUACGU